rnacentral:rRNA from 1 species
CCUACGGGGGGCAGCAGUGAGGAAUAUUGGUCAAUGGGCGCAAGCCUGAACCAGCCAAGUCGCGUGAGGGAUGACGGUCCUAUGGAUUGUAAACCUCUUUUGUCGGGGAGCAAGGCCCGCCACGUGUGGCGGGAAGGAGAGUACCCGAAGAAAAAGCAUCGGCAAACUCCGUGCCAGCAGCCGCGGUAAUACGGGGGAUGCGAGCGUUAUCCGGAUUUAUGGGGUUUAAAGGGUGCGUAGGCGGAAGGUUAAGUCAGCGGUAAGAUGUCGGUGCUAAACAGCGGCCUGCCGUUGAAACUGGUCUUCUUGAGUGAGCGAGAAGUAUGGGGAAUGCGUGGGGUAGCGGUGAAAUGCAUAGAU